CAUGCAUCAGCAACGGAGAAAGUCCUGCCAGUUCCCACAACUCCCAGUUUCUGCCUUCAAGACCUACAGACUUUGUCAUGACAACUAAGUUUUCUCCAAUCAGUAGUUCUUACUGACUGGGUCACCCACUUACAGCUCCAUGUUUGGUCAUAAACUUCAGGUGUUACCACUAGAGUAAGGCACUGUCCUUGGCACUUCAUUGUACAUUAUGAUAAAGCAGACAUGAGUUCCUUAAAGAACAUUGUCAUUAUCUUUAUGUCCCCAGUCCUUCACACAGAAUGUAGAA
rnacentral:lncRNA from 1 species